rnacentral:misc_RNA from 1 species
GAUGAAGAACGCAGCGAAAUGCGAUACGUAAUGUGAAUUGCAGAAUUCAGUGAAUCAUCGAAUCUUUGAACGCAUAUUGCGCUCUCUGGUAUUCCGGAGAGCAUGCUUGUUUGAGUAUCAGUAAACACCUCAACUCCCCUUUCUUUUUUUGAAAUGGGAGCUGGACUUGAGUGAUCCCAACGCCUUUCUCACCGAAAAGUGGCGGGUUACUUGAAAUGCAGGUGCAGCUGGACUUUUCUCUGAGCUAAAAGCAUAUCUAUUUAGUCUGCCUAAAAAACAGAUUAUUACCUUUGCUGCAGCUAACAUAAAGGAGAUUAGUUCUUGUGCUGACUGAUGCAGGAUUCACAGAGACAGCUUCGGCUGGCCUUUGUAAACUCGAUCUCAAAUCAAGUAAGACUACCCGCUGAACUUAAGCAUAUCAAUAAGCGGAGGA